rnacentral:rRNA from 1 species
AACGAACGCUGGCGGCAUGCCUAACACAUGCAAGUCGAACGAGACCUUCGGGUCUAGUUGCGCACGUGCGCGUAACGCGUCGGAACCUGCCCUUAGGUUCGGUAUACCUCCCCGAAAGGGGCGCUAAUACCGGACAAUGUCUUCGGACCAAAGAUUUAUCGCCCUUGGAUGGGCCCGCGUUGGAUUAGCUAGUUGGUAGGGUAAAAGCCUGCCAAGGCGACGAUCCAUAGCGGGUCUGGGAGGAUGCUCAGCCACACUGGGACUGCGACACGGCCCAGACUCCUACGCGAGGCAGCAGUGGGGAAUAUUGAACAAUGGACGAAAGCCUGAUCCAGCAAUGCCGCGUGAGUGAUGAAGGCCUUAGGGUUGUAGAGCUCUUUUACCCGGUAUGAUAAUGACGGUACCGGGAGAAUAAGCUCCGGCUAACUCCGUG